rnacentral:rRNA from 1 species
UACGGAGGGUGCGAGCGUUGUCCGGAAUCAUUGGGCGUAAAGGGCGCGUAGGUGGCGGGACAAGCGUGCGGUGAAAGCCUGGGGCUCAACCCCGGGUCGGCCGUGCGAACUGUUUUGCUUGAGCACUGUAGAGGCAGGCGGAAUUCCGGGUGUAGCGGUGGAAUGCGUAGAGAUCCGGAAGAACACCGGUGGCGAAGGCGGCCUGCUGGGCAGUAGCUGACACUGAGGCGCGACAGCGUGGGGAGCAAAUAGG